rnacentral:misc_RNA from 1 species
AGUCUCUGUAUAUCCCCAAUACUCAGCUUCUCAAACCCGAGUCUCUUAAAAUUUGCUCACAAAGUCUCUUCUCGCUCGCGAACAAAAUCCUUAUACAAGCCUUAGCCGCCCUUAUCCAACGCCUGAUUUUGGUCUCCAAAGCAUCCCACUCGAGUCUCUGUAUAUCCCCAAUACUCAGCUUCUCAAACCCGAGUCUCUUAAAAUUUGCGUCCACAACAGAUUUUCGAACACCCCCGUACACCUGGAUACACUCGCGCAAGU